AGCUGAAGAGUCCGAAAUAGGACGAAACGCGCAUCCU
rnacentral:hammerhead_ribozyme from 1 species